CAUGUUCUGUGAGGAAACCAGGAACUAAAUGUUAUUAUUAUUAAAAUCCAAUUUCACAAAAGAUGGUUGCAUUACUCUUAUGGGUUGAUAGUAUUCAGGAAAGCCCUUCGCCAAGACCCACUCAUGUCCACCCAUGACAGUUUCAGAACCCUUUGGUGAAAAUUAGGAAUGCUCCAACGCACUGAUAGUUUUGGUUGGCCUUUGUUGGCACCUUUUCCAGUUUUAUAAUAUCUCUUUUCGGUGUGACUCCAAGUGUGGCUCCACCUAUACACUGAUUUGUAUAAGGACAGUAUAGACUCACUGCUUUUAUUUUCACCUCCUUUUCUAAUCGUGCAAAUAUAUAUAUAAGGGAAUUUGCCUUUGAUCGUAGCCACAUACUGAGAUGUUCUAUCGUGCAGAAAUCCCCCUCGAGGCAGGUGAAAAGAGACAAAAAUAUCUCCAUUUCCAGAAACAUCCGAGAAACCCUCAACUACGACCAUUUUCCUCUGCAGUCCCUCUCAAAAUGGUGCAUUUUGAGAGGGACUGCAAAGGAAAAUGGAGAUGUUUGGCUUUGCUGGUUUGGGGAGGUACAGACAGCACUGGGGUGUCAUGAGGAGGGAAUUGACCCCCAAGCAGUAGCCCACAUCUGCUCCAUAAGAAUAAAAACUUACAGGAAUUCUCCUUGUCCUCCCACUAGCACUGAAAUAAAACACCCAAAGAAGAAAUGAUCCAAAAAGCUGUUGUCUCCUACCAUUUGAGAUGCUGUAUCCCUUGGAGGAUAUGGGGCGCUCGGUGGGAACUCUGAGCCUACCGGUUCUUGUCUCCUGUUACGUGAUCUGCUGAAACAUCUAGACGGAUAGAAAGACGAUACCAAACAAACCUGUCUCAUCUGAUACUCACCCACAACAACUUUCUACUAGUGGCCUCAAGGAAUACGACAAACGAUUUCUCAUACAGUAACAGAAAACUGAAGUCAACAGUAGGGGAAGAAUCAGAAAGAAGAAUGCCAGCAGCCAGUUUCUUGUUGUGGUAUCUUCGUCUGGAAGGAAGAAAGGAUGAAAAGGGAAAGGGAACUCUGGGUUGCAUUUCUGGAACACUUUCUUCUAUGAUUGACAUUACAAACUUCCAACAGCCUCAGCUAGUAUAGCCAAGGGGUCUUGGAGAUGGGAGUCGGAGUCCAUCAAGCCUGGUCCAAUCUCUGGAAAUGAUGUGAGUCUCCCAUGGAUGAUAAACCAAAGGCAAGCUCCUUUUCCUAUGGCAAGUAAGACCAUAUCAUCGCCAACCAGGACCUUAAUCCUUGGGGACAGCUAGACUGUGCAACCUUUCCUAGCACUGUUGAGUAUAGGAAGGCAUAAAAACCUACAUAUGCCUUCCCAAGAAUUGUGAUCAGUUGGAAAAGUGUCUCCUCUGUGUCCCACUGGUGAGGAAAAUACAAGGAGGACAUCGGAUGGGGUCUUCCUUGCUGUGGCACCUCCAUUAUGGAAAACCUCCCCAUUGAAGGCCUGGUUGGCAUCAACACUGGUGUCACUCCAGGACUAAGACAAAUCAUGGCUUUUUAUUAAAGCCUUUAGAUGUGCUGUGGUUGGCAUCACUCAUACUCUAUAAGGAGCGACUUAGGAAGCUGGAUAUGUUUAGCCUGGAGAAGGGAAGGUUGAUAUGAUAGCCUUGUUUAAAUAUUUGAAGGGAUGUCAUAUUGAGGAGGGCGCAAGCUUGUUUUCUGCUGCUUCAAAAAACGACACAAUGGAGCAAUGGAUGCAAAUGACAGGAAAAGAGAUUCCACCCGAAACUAUAGGAGGAAGUUCCUGACAGAGUUGUUUGAAGGUGAAAGACGCUCCCUCAAAGAGUGAUAGAGCCUCCUCCUUUGGAGGUUUUUAAACAGAGGCUGGAUGGCCAUCUGUUGGGGAUGCUUUGAUUGUGAGUUCCUGCAUGGCAGAAUGGGGUUGGAUUGGAUGGCCCUUCUUGGGGUCUCUUCCAACUCUGUGAUUCUAUGAAAUGGUUCUAAUGGAUUUUAAGAGACAAACGGUUCAAUAUAUUUCUACCUUUUUAAAUUAUGAUUAUUCUUAUCCAUUGCACUAAAUUGAUUUUAGAUUGUAUACCACCCUGACACCUUUGGCUAUUAAGGGGGGGAAAGUUAUAAAUAAAUAAACCUACUACAUUUUUCGCUUCCCAUACUUACCAUUGUACGGAGGGCCACUGUCCACGCUCCCACCAUAUCCUUUGGUAUUGCAGAAUGGAGGGGCCCAACCUGAGUUACAGUGGCAAUUCUUAUUGCUGUUGCACACCUAUUUCAAAGGGAUUUGAAAAAAACAGAAUGAAUAUUUAGGGACAAAGUGCAAAUGUUUAAAGUGCAAAAGUAUACUCAGUUCAUUCAGCAACAUGGGGAAAAGAGGAAGGAGCAGAAUCUUGCCCUUCCCAGUCAGUUCAUUUGGCUCUUUUGUUUAUUUUUCCUUUUCAGGCUUUCCUAAACUCAGUACAUAAAUCCCUGGGUUUCUGUGCCCUUCUUCAUUAAUAACUUUCCCUUUACUCUUUUGACCACACUGAUUUUGCAAAGCCACAUGUGUCCCAGUUUUCAUCUGCGAAAUGCUGGAAAUGCUGGAACAAAAUAGCUAUCACUAAACUAAAAUUUAGCAGUUUCCCCUGGACAUCAUAGAUAGUUUUGUUCCACUUACCCCUUGCCCAUUGCAUUGAUUGUUUAUGUCACAGUCAUAACCCAGAACUGCCACAUCGACACACUGGUAAUGCUUGCAUAUCUGCAUCAAAACAAAGCCAUUAAAUACACACAUUAAAUGAUUAGUGUGGUCGAAAUUAGCACAUACCUCGAAUGACAUAUACAUUUAUAGCUGACAGACGUGCUGCAUUAUAGAAGAACUAUUACAUUAUGACUACUACAUUAUAUAACACUAGAACACAUAUUGAUUAAAUAUUGCACAGUAUUUAUGAAAUGGAAUGAUAAAACUAAUAAAACAGAUAAAAAGUAGAGAGGAAAUACAUUACAUUUUAAAUCAGGGUUAAAAUGUGUCCCCUAACUGCUUGGUGGAGGUAACCACAAGCAAUACCUUGUGCCAACAUUAACCCAGUCAAGGUGAAGCGACUUUCCCAGUUUACCUUUCCAGGUGCACAUUUGGUCCCUUCAUUAACCAUCCCUGGAUCAGGGACAUCGGACCCGAGCUGGAAAUCCACACCCCAACAGGUACUGCCUUUGAUCGGAGACUGAAUGAUGGCAGGUUCGAUCCCAAAAACCGGAAGCGUUUUCACAUUCUCACAUUGCAGCUUCCCACACAUAGAGUUCCUGCAGGGUGACCAUUUUUUAAAAUCAGUUGUAAUUACCUUCUCUGGAGGUCAACAUUUUUUGGCUUGAUUUUCUAAAGGAACUUAAAAUGAAACUAUAUAUCCUCUGGGCAGUAAUCCCAGGCUCAGGCAUCAUAAGGACAAAGUUAUGGGUAAUCAUAUAACUGAGAAUAGAUUUAUUGGCACUGGGGGCAAAAGGAUCACACAAAGGCUUGGAACAUUAAUGGCCUUUUAUCUAUUGAAUUAAAACUCUCAAUAACUUUCACUUGCUUCUGGGAGGCUGUGUUUCCCCCAAAAACAUAACUGAAGCUAGCACAGAAAAGCUUUCCAAAUUGCUGGAUCAGCGCACUCAUUUUCCAACAACUCUUUCAGCGCUACUGAGUGCAUACCUACACUGUAGAAACAAUGCAGUUUGGCACCACUUGCCAUAACUCCAACCUACAGAAUGCAGGGAUGUGUAGUUUUGUGAAUUACUAGCACCCUUUAGCAGAGACGAUAAAGAACUUAUAAAAGUACAAAUCCCAGGAUUCCAUAGGAUGGAGCUAUAGCACCUAAAGUGGUGCCAAAUUGCAUUGUUUCUACAGUGUAGAUGCACCCUUACUCUACAGAAAGACAGAAGAAGGUGGCUAAAUAAAAUAUCCUUUGGCUAAGGAACACCAGUACCCCAAUAUAGUUUCUCCCUCUACUACAACACAUAGCUAUAUAAGCCCUAGCUGCGCACUCCCAACAUUUUCCUCUGUACAGCAACUUACAUGCUUGAGCAUUUCUUGUAGUCAUAGUUGUGAUAGCCGCAGUUUCCAAACCUGUCCCCUUUAGAAUUCACUGCAGAAAAGCAAAUCUCAGGAGCAGCUUUUGCCUCUGUAAAAUACAGAUUUGGAAAAUCAGGUCAAUGACAGCAGAUGCGUUUUGCUCAUUUCACGAUCCAGCUUCUUUCCUUUCAAAUUACAUCAAUAAAAAUAAUACAAUGCAUAAAUAAAAGUAGUAAAAAGAAAUAUAAACAAUAGAAUAUUAAUAUUACUAUUAAUUACUAGUAAUAGCUAAGUCCGUGCCUGGAUGUCUAAAAACAUACAGUCGUACUCAGAAGUGGAGUCUUUUAUCUCAGAAAUCCUAUAGAAGAUCGGGUGGGUAAGCCAAAGAUGGUUCUCAAUUGCUUGAAAAUGCUUUUUUAAUUGCUCCUUGCAAAGAAACAACUGAAAAGCUGAAACAUCUGGGCAGUUUGGGGUUUGCUUUGCCCAAACCAGGCUAUGAGUAGAAAACUGUUCUUCUUACUUGGGCCAAAGAUAGCCUGACACUGUGCCUCGUAAUACUGGCAGAACCCAUUGUAGCAAUAGGCUUCGCCCUUGUUGCAAGGAUGCCCAUUCUGAACGGUGACGUCUUGUGGGCAGAAAGCUGAGGUUCCAUUGCAGUACUCUGGGAGGUCACAUUCGCUGGCCUUCUCACGGCAUUCGGUGCCCUUGGUUAGGUACUGUGAAAGCAAGUAAGAAUGAACCAUGGUUAACCUUUGCAUGCAUACCAAAAAAAGCCCCAAAGAUAAACUCAUCAUCCCAAUAACUUUACCUCCGAGCAACAUAAUACAGGUUGAGUCUCCCUUAUCUGAAAUGCUUGGGAGCAGAAGUGUUUUGCUUUGCCCAAAUCAGGCUAUGGGUAGAAAACUGUUCCUCUUACUUGGGCCAAAGAUAGUCUGACACUGUGCCUCAUAGUACUGGCAGAACCCAUUGUAGCAAUAGUCUUCGCCCUUGUUGCAAGGGUGCCCAUUCUGAUUUUUUUCCCUCCAGAUUUUGGAAUGCUUGCAUAUACUUUACCCAGGACUUCCUCAACCCCCAAACUAUUCCUUGAUAUGGCCAAGUUGGACGUUCCACUAAAUGUAUCAUUUUCUGCUGUGUCUUUUGCAUUCUUUUCUUAGACAAAUAAGAGCAAGAAUGGAGAUCACUAUUCACAUGUGGGGAAAAUCUCUCAGAUGCACACACAAUACCCCAAAACUUGAUACAGUAUCUAUCCCAGAAAAGACCCUCUUCUUCAUGCCAAUUGGAAAUUCCUUUCUGGUAUGAAUACCAGGUGCAUUGGGGAGGGAUUGUUGGGAGUUUGGCAGAGGAGGAGAAAUUCAUUUCAUCCCUUAGCAUUGGAGCUGGCAACUUGGCUGAGAAAAUGUCAUUUAUUCCAACUCCCUUUACUCUAAGAUAAUAAGUGUAUUGUAGAUUAAGAGGCCUUUACUCUAACCAAGGCUAAAAUGAUCCAUGAUAAUGUCCCUGCAUUCUUCCAUUUUUUACACUAAACUCUGUGACUCUGGGAGGAAGAUGGAGAAGGUCUUACAUGACAAUUGCGACAGCAGUCUCCAUAACCACAAUCAGCCCCUGAACGCAGUUUACACGUUCCAGCUUCGCAGCAAGGAUCCGUUUUACAUUCCUGGAAAGUUAGGAGAGAGAAAUGUUGCACCCUAGGAACAAUGAGGUCUGUAUAAUUAUGCGCCGGGAAACCAGGCAGCCAAAAAGCAUUUGCAACAUUCAGGUACAGUGGAUUCUUUCCCACAGCUGCCUUUGGUUUAACACACUUCUACUGUCUUGAGAGUUUGGCUAGAGAAAAACUGGGGAAGAGGGGCAAAAGUAAAAGCUGCUUUCAAUAUGGCAAUACAUUUGCUUUGCUGCUUUUUAUUAGUUCUGGGGGUUUACUGUAUAAAUCCGAGCCUGUUCAAGCUAGAUCUUUAUUCGGUUCCCAAGUUAUCUGUCUAGGGUCCUGAUUUUCUGCCACAGACUAGCAUGGGGAAGGACAUCUUUAAAUUUGGUUCUUCUCUUCACCCUUCUCAACAACAGAGAGCAUGGCCCACAGUUGACCACCCCUGUUGUAUGCCACAGCACUUACUAACCUCCGGGGACCCACAAUCGCACUCUUCUCCGGCAUCCACAAGUUUGUUGCCGCAGUAGGGGACACUGUAGAUUUCCUCAGGCCUGGGAAUAUUGAGAAGGCAACUUCCACCUUUGUUUAGUGUGAGCUUUUCGAAGUCUUCCUCGCUGCAGCUGCUGAAAUUUCUGGCUCCUCUGCAAACAGGGCAUAUUAAAGGAAUCCAUUAGGGACACUCAAAUUCCAGGGCAGAGUUUUUGCAACUCUGUGGAGUCCUUACCUCCCAUAAACAUCCCCCGGUUCUCAAAAUAGCAAUAAGUGACAGUCAAAAUCCCUAACUUGCAAGGAGGUAUCUAGUAAUAAGUUUGGGUUCUGCUGAAAAACCAAAGGAAAGUACUGAUUUCAAUUUAUCUAUUCAUUUCGCUUCUCUGUAACAUCAGUGUAUUGCUCACGUUAAUAAAUUGCAUGAUGUGAACAUUU